UGUAAAUGAGCAGGGCAAAUGAAACUAACUUUUGACGACACCAUGAUCCUUCAGACUGUGUUUCUAUUGAGAGAUAAAAGGCUGGUUGAAUGAGUUGUCUAUGAAAGCUACUUCAUCUGUAAGAAAACAGGCGUCCGCACCAGUGACUGGGUCAGUGCUCUAAAAUGAGUCUCUCUGGGGAGAGAGAGGAGGGGGGCCCUGCCUCUAAAAUGCAUCUCUCUGGGGGACAUGAUACCAAAGU